AAACCUUGCCAAGAAAACUGCACAGCCUUGUCCAGGCAGUCACAAGGUAUCAACAAGGACUAGAAAGCACAACAGUGACACAUACAAAGACAGAUAUACACUUACUUCUCUGUUUCGUAUACAAAUGACUAAUCAAAGCAGUUAUCCAAGUUUUAAAAUUAAUUAAUUCAUUAAUUACUAAAAGAGUGUGGGAAUGUAAGGCAUUUUUCAAUUUGCAAAGCUCCAGCUUCUGCUCUGUUCUUUUUCACUUAAGCAGAUGGUUCAGCAGAAUGUGGAACUAAUGGCACAGAUCCAUGAAAACACCUCAAGGGAAAGAACAGAUGUUGCAAACUUCACUCCCUACUAGCACCGAUGAUGUUACCUAGUUUGGUAAUGAAAUGUCUGUAAGAAAACAACCAAACUGAGAGAACACUAAAGACCCCACACUUCAACCCUGAGCUACAAAUGUUCUCUUCGAUUGAUCAGCAUGUACAAUGCACAUUCAGGAAACCAAACAACCAGCUGGAGAGCAUAUGAUGGCACAAUUUCCUAACUUUAGCUUCAGUUAGGCAAGACUGGAAUAAAACUGUUGCAUCUGGGGAGUUUUGGUGGGGAGAAACCUGAACUGAGCUCACAGUCAAAUCACUUCACACUUUCUGCUAAUUUGAUUCCCAAGUCUCUACAAACCAUCUGGCAGACAUCUUCAACAUCCAGAAGAAAAGAGGCAGGUUGAUUCUAUACAGAAAACCCAGUUGCUGAAACAUCUGUGCUCCUUCUCGCCUCUCUGCCUGUGCUAUUUGAAGGACAGAACAGAUUUCAUUCUAAUAGUUUCUAAAACUCAUGCUGUUGUGAGCAAUGUCAGAUAAGAAGAAAGAAGAUCUAGAGUCAUAUUCCCAAAGAAAUAUGCAUGGCACUACAUAACUUUGAACUGGCUACUCCUCCUUUAUUCAACCCAAGGUGCAGUCCUUUUUUGGAAAUGUGCCCACCUAGGUUUUAAAUGUGGCAACAGCCAUGAAGGGUAAGGGGAUAGUGGGCUAGCUGCUUUUAGUCUUAACAGCUUUUAGAUACACUGUGUCACAGAUUGGCAUUGAAGACCAUGCAGACACUACAGCUGAUCCAGAAUAUAGUGAUGCAACAAAUUAUGAAUGCAUCUCGAUACACUCGUGUAACAUCAUUAACAAUAACAGCAGCACUAGUUAUUAAUAAACAAUUCAGCUUAUUGGUUAUAGUUGAUAAAAUCCUUCAUGGCAACAGGCCUGUCUACCUGAAGGAUGGUCUUUCUUAGUCAAGUUCAUCUGAUAAGAUCUGACAACAUACCAGUGGUGAAAUGUAAAAUUUGUUACGUAAAGCCCCGAAGACGUUUUUAUUCCAUCAAGCCGGCCUAGCCUAAAUGGUUUUUAAAUUGGGAUUUUAAAUUUUAUGGAUUUGGGGGUUUUAAAUUGGAAGCUAGUGAUUUAAUUCUUUUUAAUUAUCUUAACUUUUGUAUUUGUAUGUUUUUUUAAUUUUGGCUGUUCACCGCCCUGAGUCCCUUCUGGGAGAAGGGCGGUAUAUAAAUUAAAUUAAUAAAUAAUAAAAUAAAUAAAUAAAUAUUGGUUCUGUGGGCGUGGCUUGGGGGGUAAUGUGACUGGG